rnacentral:misc_RNA from 1 species
GGUGCUCUCCCAGCUGAGCUACGGCCCCUAAAUCAGAAUAAAGCGUUUAAAACGAUCAAAAGAGGGAUUACAAAAUCUAUAUAACUCAAAGCGAUAUGAUUGAACCGAUAGUUUCAUAUAGGCAUUGACGUCUAUGAGCAUUUGGAAUUUAUAUCAACCAAAUGGACGCUGUAAAAAUCACUUUGCAAGGAAUUUUGACUCCUUAGUAUUUAGCAUUUGAACUGUUUUUUUGCCAUUAAUUUGCUUUAACUUUGGAUUACUCACACAAAAGCAAUAAGCCUGCCAAUUUUGAUAAGCUUUUUAGAAGCAAUCUUUUUAGAAGUACUUAUUUUUUAAAAGCACUUAUGAAAGUAAUGGAUAAACUGGUGGGCCUGGGAGGACUUGAACCUCCGACCUCACGCUUAUCAAGCGCGCGCUCUAACCAACUGAGCUACAAGCCCUCCGGGAUAAACCGGAAAACCUUCCCCGGCAUCCUCUUAUAAAACGCUUAAAUUUUAUCAAGGAAAGCGUUUUUCAAAGCCCACGGUGGACUUGUUUUGUCUAGAUCGCC